rnacentral:rRNA from 1 species
UUCUCCCAGUAACGGCGAGUGAACGGAGAUUAGCCCAGCACCGAAGCCUAUCCGCACUUGUGGACAGGGCAAUGUGGUGUUUAGACUGGUACCUUGGCGCAGCUCGUCUACUCGAAGUCCAACUCCGAUUAUGGCAUUGGAUUUGUCCCAUAGAGGGUGAGAGGCCCGUACGGGUAGACACUACUGCAUCUUGAGCUGCGCUUAGAUGUGCCUGUCUUGGAGUCGGAUUGCUUGAGAAUGCAGUCCAAAGUGGGUGGUAAACUCCAUCCAAGGCUAAAUACUGGCACGAGUCCGAUAGUAAACAAGUACCGUGAGGGAAAGUUGAAAAGUACUCUGAAGAGAGAGUAAAUAGUACGUGAAGCCGCCCGUAGGGAAGCUGGUGGAGUCAAGCUUCAUGCCUGCAUGAUUAGUGUUGAGAGAGUCGCAUUGUCAAAGCAUCGUCGGUUGGUGAAUCUGGAAACGUUUCGGUGGGCCAAAAGCCCGCUGCAAGCCUUCUGGUGUGUGCGCUUGUGCCAACCUAGCGGUGUUCUCUCUUGCAUUCUAUCAGCAGGCAGCCAUCACGGUUGAUGUGCUCUUGGUGCGUGGCUGUUAAACUGUGCCUUUGUGACCCUCACCGGCUGCUGGACACAGGAAGGCAGGUGGUGCUGUAGUCUGGCUUGCCCUGACUAUUGGCACACGUAAUGGUUAUAUCCAGCCGACAGCCAUGCUUGCUUUACCAUUGACUGCAUAUCAUGAAUGUUUCAGGCUGUCGCCAUAUCAAUCGGUUGCAGCUGAGGAGAACCGUGGUGUUGAAGUAGAUCUUCCACCCGACCCGUCUUGAAACACGGACCAAGGAGUUUAACAUGUGCGCAAGUCAAUGGGCUGUGUGAAACCCAGAGGCGCAAUGAAAGUGAAUGGUCGUCUGUCGCGGCCUUAGGUGUGAUCCCGGCUGAUCCAGACAAAGGCGGUUGGGCGCAACACCGGCCCGUCUCAAGAUGUAGUCAUUCGGCCCACGGGCUGGGUGCAUCAUCGAGGCGGAGCAAGAGCGCACAUGUUGAGACCCGAAAGAUGGUGAACUAUGCUUGCGUAGGUUGAAGCCAGAGGAAACUCUGGUGGAGGACCGUCGCGGUUUUGACGUGCAAAUCGAUCGUCAAACGUGAGCAUAGGGGCGAAAGACUAAUCGAACCAUCUAGUAGCUGGUUCCCUCCGAAGUUUCCCUCAGGAUAGCUGGCAAUCGGUUCGCUAUACAGUUUUAUCCGAUAAAGCGAAUGAUUAGAGGUAUUGGGGACUAAUUGUCCUCAACCUAUUCUCAAACUAUAAAUGGGUACGAUGCUGGACUCGCUUAAUUGGAGUCUAGCAUUGAAUGUGAUUGCCAAGUGGGCCAUUUUUGGUAAGCAGAACUGGCGCUGUGGGAUGCUCCGAACGUUCAGUUAAGGUGCCCAACACAGACGCUCAUGAGACACCAAAAAAGGUGUUAAUGCAUAUAGACAGCAGGACGGUGGCCAUGAAAGUCGGAAACCGCUAAG